rnacentral:rRNA from 1 species
CCUACGGGCGGCAGCAGUGAGGAAUAUUGGUCAAUGGCCGGGAGGCUGAACCAGCCAAGUCGCGUGAGGGAAGACGGCCCUACGGGUUGUAAACCUCUUUUGUCAGGGAGCAAGGUGCAGGUCGGGACCUGCUGCGAGAGUACCUGAAGAAAAAGCAUCGGCCAACUCCGUGCCAGCAGCCGCGGUAAUACGGGGGAUGCGAGCGUUAUCCGGAUUUAUUGGGUUUAUAGGGUGCGUAGGCGGAGGCACAAGUCAGCGGUAAAAUCGGGGGGCUCAACCCCGCUCCGCCGUUAAAACUGUGUGCCGUGAGUGCACGAAGGGUAAGCGGAAUGCGUGGUGUAGCGGUGGAAUGCAUAGAUAUCACGCAGAACUCCAAUCGCGAAGGCAGCCUACCGGCGCGCAACUGACGCUCAUGCACGAAAGCGUGGGUAUCGAACAGGAUUAGAUACCCCUGUAGUC